UACGAAGGGGGCUAGCGUUGCUCGGAAUUACUGGGCGUAAAGGGCGCGUAGGCGGACAGUUUAGUCAGAGGUGAAAGCCCAGGGCUCAACCUUGGAAUUGCCUUUGAUACUGGCUGUCUUGAGUUCGGGAGAGGUGAGUGGAAUGCCGAGUGUAGAGGUGAAAUUCGUAGAUAUUCGGCGGAACACCAGUGGCGAAGGCGACUCACUGGCCCGAUACUGAUGCUGAGGCGCGAAAGCGUGGGGAGCAAACAGG
rnacentral:rRNA from 1 species